rfam:Picea glauca, whole genome shotgun sequence.
AUACCUUUCUUGGCCUUUUGGCUAAGAUCAACUGUGGUAUCUGUUCUUAUCACUUUAAUAUCUGAUACGUGGUUCAUAGAACCACAUGAUAUUAAAUGUAUUUUUCUAGGGGGAGGGCCCACUCACAAUAGCUUGCUAUUGGGGCUCUCGGGCAUUGCUUGUUGGAUUGAAUUUUAUUUGUUUUGGUAAUUUGAAAC